AUCCUUUUGUAGUUCAUAAGCGUUUUCAUGCCCAUUCAUGAGAUGUGCCUCCCACAAAUCUUGUUACGACGUCAGCACAUUACCCGUCUGAUG
ensembl:snoRNA